GAUGAACACUGGCGAGAUGCCUUACACAUGCAAGUCAUACGAGAAUUUUUAAUUCAAGUGGCGGACGGGUGAGUAACACGUAAGAAUUUGCCUUUAGGAGGGGGACAACAACUGGAAACGGUUGCUAAUACCCCAUAUGCUUUCGAGUGAAAUGGAUUUUUCCGCCUAGAGAGAAGCUUGCGGCUGAUUAGCUUGUUGGUAAGGUAAUGGCUUACCAAGGCGACGAUCAGUAUCUGGUUUGAGAGGAUGAUCAGACACACUGGAACUGAGACACGGUCCAGACUCCUACGGGAGGCAGCAGUGGGGAAUUUUCCGCAAUGGGCGAAAGCCUGACGGAGCAAUCUCGCGUGAGGGAUGACGGCCUAUGGGUUGUAAACCUCUUUUUUCAGGGAGGAACAAAAUGACGUGUACCUGAAGAAUAAGCAUCGGCUAACUCCGUGCCAGCAGCCGCCGUAAGAC
rnacentral:rRNA from 1 species